CGAAGUGGCGACACUGGGAGUUCCUGAGCCCUGGAGAAGAUUUGCCAAAGAAACUUACUUCUAAAGAGGCCCGUGAUCUCAUGAAAAUGAUCAGCAGAUAAAUCAACUCAAGAGAUUCAGAUGCUCUACAGUCUCCAGCAUCCAGAGCAGGACCGGCGCUGCUUGCUCCACCUUCACGUUGUUGGCUAACAGUAGACUUAACGGACUUACCAGGGGAAGACUGCUCUUCUGAUUGGAGGUUAGAAGGCUGCCCUUCCCUUCUCUGACGUCAUUCGGCCAGAAUGGAUAAGGUUCCUGAUGCAGCUGCUAUCUGUAGACCUCCUGGACUGCGCAAGGAAGGGAGUGGGAGCUCCUGCUGCAGAUGAGAGGAACAGUGACAAGGAGGACCGAAGGUGGCCAAAAAUAACAGGGCCUUCCAGAUGAGGCGACCUCAGAGCCAAGAGCAUCAUGGGCUAGUGGCCUGCCAAUCACAGGACGUCAUGCCCCGGUUUGCAGUGCCCAGAAUCUCCUCCAGGUUCAGCUUUGACAUCCUCCUGCAGAGGGCUUACUCCAG